rnacentral:rRNA from 1 species
ACUUAGUGGCAGACGGGUGAGUAACAUGUGGGUAUCUACCCUUUGGCCUGGAAUAACACGAGGAAACUUGUGCUAAUACCGGAUAAGUCUUUACGGAGAAAGCUUUAUGCACCAUUGGAUGAGCCCGCACUUGAUUAGUUUGUUGGUAGGGUAAUGGCCUACCAAGACUAUGAUCAAUAGCUGAUUUGAGAGGAUGAUCAGCCACAUUGGGACUGAGACACGGCCCAAACUCCUACGGGAGGCAGCAGUGGGGAAUCUUGCACAAUGGAGGAAACUCUGAUGCAGCGAUGCCGCGUGAGUGAAGAAGGCCUUUGGGUUGUAAAGCUCUUUCGUCGGGGAAGAAAAUGACUGUACCCGAAUAAGAAGGUCCGGCUAACUUCGUGCCAGCAGCCGCGGUAAUACGAAGGGACCUAGCGUAGUUCGGAAUUACUGGGCUUAAAGAGUUCGUAGGUGGUUGAAAAAGUUGGUGGUGAAAUCCCAGAGCUUAACUCUGGAACUGCCAUCAAAACUUUUCGGCUAGAGUAUGAUA